rnacentral:misc_RNA from 1 species
ACAAAGUCUCCUUCAACUCCCUUCCCUAACUCUUUGCUGCCUUUCAAUUUUGAAAGGGUUUCCAAAUUUGUUAUCUUUCUCAUUUCUUCUCUUUAUUUUCCUUUUUCACAAAAAAAGUACCCAAUAGACCCUUUUUUUCCUCUUAUCACAGGUCUUGCGGUAUAUAUGACACACGUACAAAGGGGAUGGCCCAGGAACCCUCAUGUGAUUUGUUGAAGGAUUCAGAAUCCAUAUUUGUACAUUACGCGUUUUGUACAAAGUCUUCUUUUUUUUAAGGAUCUAAGAAAUGCGGGGCGUGGAAAAGACUCAAAAUACCUUGUUUCGUCAUUUUUUUGAAUUGACAUAAACUCAAGUCAUCUAAUAAAAUA